GGAUCCGUGGCGCAAUGGUAGAGCGUCUGGCUCCAGAUCAGAAGGUGGCGUGUUCGAUUCACGUCGGGUUCA
rnacentral:tRNA from 1 species